GUAAGCGGCACAUUUCACAAUUUGUUCUCAUAAUUACUGAGUAUUAACAAGAAAGCUUUAUGAAUGGGUAAGUAGUGAAGAAAACGUCCUCUGGAGAGCUUAAAUAUGUGAAAAAUUAAUUAUUAUUACAUUAUGUCUGAAUUUACUAAAAUAAUAAUCUUGUUUGAAGUGGAGCUUCAACCAUAAUCCCAUAUUGUCCUUUGUAUGUUUCAGUGAUUUUGCCAGUCUUCAUCGCCACCAUUGUCGUCUUCCUGGUGCUAGUAUGUGCUCUACUCUUUGUUAUCAGGAAGGGAAUCAACACAAUGCUCUAUAUGUCAACCAAAUCAAGUGAAGCUUUUGAAAGCCCCUUAGCAACAUCUUUCAGCUAUCUUCAAAUUGUGUAUCUUUAUACCAUUGCCAAAACUACCACAUAGCAUAUAACACAAGUGUAACAGGAAAUAGAAAAGCAAACUAACAUUCUGCCAGGUACAAAGCCUUGUUAAAAAAGUUAGAAUUUAGAGUGCCUUAAUGUUUAUGUUCUUUAAGCUAGUGACAGGUUUUGUUUAUUAAUGAAUAAAAUUAUUCAAAUUUCCACUUUUUUUUAACCAAUAAUAACAAAACAAAAAGUUAAUUCGGGGUCUCAGUUGUUAAUUUUGUGUGAACUUAGGAAGAACAGAUGUUACUAAGGAAAUGACUAAUGAGCAGCUUGUGUAAAUAAAUGAAUAAAUGUCCCAGUAACAAAG